AUAUUGGACAAUGGGGGAACCCCUGAUCCAGCCAUGCCGCGUGUGUGAAGAAGGUCUUCGGAUAGUAAAGCACUUUAAGUUGGGAGGAAGGGCUUUAGGUUAAUACCCUGUAUUUUUGACGUUACCAACAGAUUAAGCACCGGCUAACUCUGUGCCUGCAGCCGCGGUAAUACAGAAGGUGCAAGCGUUAAUCGGAAUUACUGGGCGUAAAGCGCGCGUAGGUGGUUCAGUAAGAUGGGUGUGAAAUCCCCGGGCUUAACCUGGGAACUGCUUUCAUAACUGCUGAGCUAGAGUACGGUAGAGGGUAGUGGAAUUUCCUGUGUAGCGGUGAAAUGCGUAGAUAUAGGAAGGAACACCAGUGGCGAAGGCGACUACCUGGACUGAUACUGACACUGAGGUGCGAAAGCGUGGGGAGCAAACA
rnacentral:rRNA from 1 species